rnacentral:rRNA from 1 species
UACGAGAGGCGCAAACGUUAUUCGGAAUUACUGGGCUUAAAGAGUUCGUAGGCGGCGCAGAAAGUAGGGUGUGAAAGCCCUCGGCUCAACCGAGGAAUUGCGCUCUAAACUACUGUGCUUGAGGGACCUAGAGGUGAGCGGAACUGAUGGUGGAGCGGUGAAAUGCGUAGAUAUCAUUUGGAACGCCAAUGGUGAAAACAGGUAACUGGGAGUGUGCUGACGCUGAGACACGAAAGCCAGGGGAGCGAACGGG